AGGACGAACGCUGGCGGCGUGCUUCACACAUGCAAGUCGAACGGGGCUCAUCCGGUGGUAACACUGGAGAAGGCCUAGUGGCGAACGGGUGAGUAACACGUGAGGAACCUGCCCCGAAGACCGGGAUAACAGCGGGAAACCGCUGCUAAUACCGGAUGCCCCCACCGGGCCGCAUGACCUGGUGAGGAAAUGGGCUUCCGCUUCGGGAGGGUCUCGCGGCCUAUCAGCUUGUUGGUGGGGUAACGCCCACCAAGGCUACGACGGGUAGC
rnacentral:rRNA from 1 species